CGGGAUGUGGCGCAGCUUGGUAGCGCAUCUGUUUUGGGUACAGGGGGCCGCAGGUUCGAAUCCUGUCAUCCCGA
rnacentral:tRNA from 4 species